UACAGAGGGUGCAAGCGUUGUUCGGAAUUACUGGGCGUAAAGGGCGCGUAGGCGGCCUUUUAAGUCGAACGUGAAAUCCCCGGGCUCAACCCGGGAACUGCGUCCGAUACUGGCAGGCUUGAAUCCGGGAGGGGGAUGCGGAAUUCCAGGUGUAGCGGUGAAAUGCGUAGAUAUCUGGAGGAACACCGGUGGCGAAGGCGGCAUCCUGGACCGGCAUUGACGCUGAGGCGCGAAAGCCAGGGGAGCAAACGGG
rnacentral:rRNA from 1 species